UACAGAGGUCUCAAGCGUUGUUCGGAUUCAUUGGGCGUAAAGGGUGCGUAGGCGGCGCGGUAAGUCGGGUGUGAAAUCUCGGGGCUUAACUCCGAAACUGCAUUCGAUACUGCGGUGCUUGAGGACUGGAGAGGAGACUGGAAUUCAUGGUGUAGCAGUGAAAUGCGUAGAGAUCAUGAGGAAGACCAGUGGCGAAGGCGGGUCUCUGGACAGUUCCUGACACUGAGGCACGAAGGCCAGGGAGCAAACGGG
rnacentral:rRNA from 1 species